rnacentral:tRNA from 2 species
GCCGGGGUGUCCCAACCUGGUACGGAGCAGGGUUGCUAACCCUGUGACGCGUAAGCGUCUUGUGGGUUCAAAUCCCGCCCCCGGCGCCA